UUUUAUUUGUCCUGUGUUCCAUUUGAUCUUUGAAUGAUUUGAUCGCACCCGGUUGCCAUGGAGACGUCACUGGUGGAACGCAUGUGGAACGCGGACGUUCCCGCGACGUCACUUCCGGUUUCGGCAAAUUAUGACCGCUUCCGGUAUUUGCCGAAAAAGGCGCGAAUUACAAAUUAUGGAAAAUGAAUGGAUGACAAACAGCUGCCACAGGAAGAUCAGUCCUCCAAUUAGAACCAAGGAGGAUUUACACGCCUACUGGAUCCACCAAUAGACUUUAGGGAUUAGCCCUAUUUAAGGACACAGGGAGGGGGGAUGUGCAUAGGAUAUGUUUAUGUAUUGUACAUUGAUACAUUGUUAUUAUUGUUUUUAAUUGUGGUCCCUGAGGAAGUUCUUAUAGAACGAAACGCGUAGGACAACCUUCUGUUAUUUGUAUCCUAUGCUGAAUUGGUG